rnacentral:ncRNA from 1 species
CGACAAAUUUACGGGAGCUUGUAAACAGGCUGAGAGGAAGUUGCGAACUUCGACCGGUAACCUGAUUUGGAUAAUGCCAACGUAGGGAAAUGUUUUGCUUACUAA